ensembl:lncRNA PCDH10-DT PCDH10 divergent transcript
AAGGGACCUGUGGAUCAAUGAAAAGGAGAUUAUAGUGUAUCUGAAUAUUAAUACGGUAUUGCAUCUGUACUUCCACCCCUCCCCCCUUUCUUUUUCUUCAGAUCUGCAGAAUUGAAAUGAAAUGUUUUGAGCUCUUCAAGCUGACUCGUCAGAAUCCUGGAGCCUUUUAAAAAAUGACGAAUUGGAAGGAAAAAUUACUUUAUCAAUAACCAGGCUCCACCAGGAUUGACCUAGAUGGUUGUUCCUGGCACUUGUCAUUCUCAGCAAGCACAGCUCAGAGAACAAAUACAAAAGACCCAAAGUGCAUUGCAUCUUUUAUGGAAGUGCCCAAUGUGGAAAUCAUAGAUUUCAAGGAAGGAACAAGAAAAUUGAUGAAACAAGUUCAAAAGAAAGGUACCUGUGCCUCAUCAUUCCUAAAGAACACUGAUCAAUGAUCCCAGAAGUAUGCCAUGUUCUCUUAAUUCAUCAGAGACUGAAAGCAAAGGAAAAUCAAGAAAUAAGCUUGGCCAAUUUGAUGUCAAUGGAAAUGCGUGAGAUUUUUAUUCAGCAUUCACACCUGAGCAAUGCUUUUGGUCAUGAUGUCAUACUAAGAAGAAACCACCUGAGAUGAGACUGUUAGAUGUUCAGAGCAAACAAAAACAAAAACAGACCAACAAAAAAAACCCAAAACAAAACAGAAGUUUCUGAAGGACAGCAGAAAUGGUAAGUUUUUUCCAUGGUGCAAGACACUAAAUGGAAAGUAACCUUCUCUUGGGAGCUACACCUAGGUAGACCUAGUCAUGUGAACCAGUGAUGAUAGCAACAGAUGAAGAUUCUGGAUGGGGAAAGUAAGGCUUGAAAAUUUUGGAUAUGUCUGUUAUUAAAAUGUAAGCCUCUUUUGACAUUGGAGUAGCAAGAGGGGGUAAGUAGAAUUGUUAGCCUUUUAAAAUAUUCCUCAUUAAGAGGAUUUUUUAAAAACCCAAUUUUUGGUGUUAAAAUCCAAGACACUCUGGAAGGUGGCUUAUUUCAGUUGGAAAGAUAGUAAGCUGGUUUUCAGGGCCCAAGUAGACAGUAUAUUUUGGAAUCCUGAGGUCUGUUAUUUCUAACAUGCAUGGAUAGCAUUGACAAAUUCUCUUCUGACUGAAAAUCUAAGUUGCUGAUGUUUUUGAUGGUUAUUUAUUUCUUAUCGCAAUUCACAUUGGAAUUUUCCUAAAGGUUUUUUAUGUCUUCAUUUAUUUGUUUUAGUAUAAUGGUUCUUAUCUGAUUAAUUAUAUUUUUUCCUAGAAUUAAAAUAAGAUUAUAUUUAUCUCAGAAAGGCAAAGAAUGAGUAAAUAUUUAACCUAGAACACAUGAUUUGUUUAUUUUAAAAGUCUAUUGAUCUUUAUCGUUAUUCUUUUUAACAAUGUGUCAGAACUAGGCUAUGUUGAGAUGGGAAAAUUCAUUUAUAAUUUUAAAACAAUUGCUUCUCUAAGUAAAAAUGUUUCUCUUUUUUCUCUUUAAAAUUAGUAGUUUGGGUUUAGCUGGCAUUCUCAUGACUUACAUAAUAUUUAUAUGUUUAAAAUAAGGGUAUGCUUGGGAGCAUGAGAUCUGAUUCUUAGGUUGGGGACUGUAACAGUAACUCCUAUUUAUGUCUCUGUUUUAAAAUCAGAUCUAUUGUAUACAAAGAAGAAUUUUUAUAGGUAAUAGCAGAAAUGUUAAUAGAUCUUAAAGUUUUAAUUUUAAAAAUUAAUUAAAAAGAUAAAUGCCAUGAUAUUUAAGGACCUCUAUUUAAUAUGGUGCUUUUGUCUUAAAUUGUUGAUGUUCACACUGUCCUUGCAGAAUUUUAUUGCAUUCAGGAACAUUUGUGAAUUUUCUUUUAUCUAAGAAGAAUGUGUUAUAUUUCAGUGAAUUAUAGGUGGCAGUAUACACAGCUAAAUUCCAUGUGUUACUGCAGGUAGACAGAAGAUUUUUCAAUUGUUUAACAAUUUUAUAUUUAAGCUUAUUGUCAUUCUAGCCCCGUUUCUUAACCACCUCCUGUUUUUGGUCUUAAUAUAAGAACACCAGAUAGCCUUCCUUUGAUAAGAGAAUGCUGGUGAGAAGUAUUUUGAAUCUCAAGUUUAUUCUGAAUGUUAGUUAAGAUGCAUUUAAAAAAUUUUGCUAAAUAAAGAUACAUUAGAAAGAGUAUAAAACUCAUUGACCGCUUGAUUUAAUAUUAAAAUGAGAAUUUAAAACUAAAUGAACUCUUAAAAUUACAUAUCAAGCCAAUGACAGAGAAUUUUUUAUUCUGUCUCUUUCAUUUUCUGUUUUAAAAGUUACAAGCAAAUAUGCUUUGACUGCUAAGUUGUGAAAAUACAAUACUUUUCUGAUUUAUUAUCCUGAAGUAUGAUACCUAUCUAUGAGAAAGUUAAGUACAAAAUUGCUGUUCUUUAUGCCUGAUAUACACCCUGAAAGUAUUAUAUUCACGAGAAUGAUGAGAAAAUUAUAUAUGGUAUCAAGAAAGAGAAUAAACCUUAAAUUGAUGAUCGAUAGC